GUACAGAGGUCCAAGCCGUGUUCGGAUUCAUUGGGCGUAAAGGGUGCGUAGGUGGCGCUGUAAGUCGGGUGUGAAAUUUCGGAGCUUAACUCCGAAACUGCAUUCGAUACUGCGGUGCUUGAGGACUGGAGAGGAGACUGGAAUUCAUGGUGUAGCAGUGAAAUGCGUAGAGAUCAUGAGGAAGACCAGUGGCGAAGGCGGGUCUCUGGACAGUUCCUGACACUGAGGCACGAAGGCCAGGGGAGCAAACGGG
rnacentral:rRNA from 1 species